rnacentral:piRNA from 1 species
UAUACCGACUCGGAGGGCUGCUAC